GUAGGUGGCAAGCGUUGUCCGGAAUUAUUGGGCGUAAAGCGCGCGCAGGUGGGUUCUUUAAGUCUGAUGUGAAAGCCCCCGGGCUCAACCGGGGAGGGUCAUCGGAAACUGGGGAACUUGAGUGCAGGAGAGGAAAGUGGAAUUCCACGUGUAGCGGUGAAAUGCGUAGAUAUGUGGAGGAACACCAGUGGCGAAGGCGACUUUCUGGCCUGUAACUGACACUGAGGCGCGAAAGCGUGGGGAGCAAACAGGAUUAGAUACCCUGGUAGUCCACGCCGUAAACGAUGAGUGCUAAGUGUUGGGGGGUUUCCGCCCCUCAGUGCUGCAGCUAACGCAUUAAGCACUCCGCCUGGGGAGUACGGUCGCAAGACUG
rnacentral:rRNA from 1 species